ensembl:lncRNA
GGUGUGUUGGAACAAGGAUGAAUCUAAAAGCUGCAGGACAGUAGCUCUCGAGGACUAGGAUUGGGCACCCCUGAUAUAGGCCAUCCGGUUAAGGUUUAUUUGCAGAUAGUUAUGAAUACAGGAUAAACACUGUGGGCUCCAGGAGACGGGGCAGAGGUAGUGAAGGUUGUCUGAAGGCACACUCAGACACUGUCACAGAAGGUUGUGGAGAUCCGUAGCGCUGAAACGUCUGCACAGAAACAGAGAGUGAGUAAAGGCAAGAACUGAUGGAAAAUGUGACAUGACUGUGGCAUGAUACGUUACCUUGGUAAUGCAAUGAUCUGGUUGUUUAGAAGCCAGCAUGAAGACCUCGUGAGGGACAGGCGAGUAAUCAGCUGAUUGUUGACAAGUGACUGAAGGACAGGAAGGUGGAGGAGCAUCCCCUAAAAAAGACAAACACACGGACAACAACACAGGCACACACCGAAAGAGGAGAGAGAGAAAGAAGCAGGCCAGCAAAAACGGGCAAGGGAACCAUGACAUCUACAGAGGCCCAUUUUCAUUUGGUACAUUGUGGUACCAGAUAUCAGUUUGUGAUGUUAGAUCCCAACUUGUCAGUCAAGAAACCUUUUUCCAAAGAUAUCAGCACAAACCAAAAUCAUUGUGUGGAUUAAAAACAGUAAAUUUUAGAGAUUUGUGAUGGAUCAUCCAAUUUACUGUUUUUGUUUUGAUUAAGUCAAAUUUGUACCGUGUUUAUAACCAUGUGAUUGGUCCAUACAAGAGCGAUUUUUACUAGAAAUGGGCCCAUAUAUGAGUGUGUAGACAUAUCCUAAUGCAUCAUGGGUGAUUUAACAUAAAUGAUUCAUUAAACACACAUCUGUGAAAACAUUUCUGAUAAGCUUUUUGCAAUAUUACGUUAAAGCAAAUGUAAAUUAUGAAUUAAAAGACGACUGUUUCAAUCUGACCACAAACUUUUGAGCAGUAGUGUGUGUUGUAUGCAUGUGUCUGUCUGUAUCUGAUCAGGAUUUUGUCAUCAGUGUCAACAAAACGCUCAUUUUUUUAGCUGUGUCUAUCAUCAAAAUUGAGUUGGAGUGUUUUAAGUCUGAUGGCAAUCUCUCCCUAACAAGUCCACUUUAUUGCGUGCUCUUUUUCUCCUAUUAGAGGCUCAUAGGAGUCUAACUAAUGCACUUUAUGCAUGUUUCCUAAUCUGUCACGCUUAUCAGUGGCUCAUGGUUGCUUAAGGCCUAUGUCUGUACUUGACCACAGAGGCAGAGCAUCAUUCAGUCCUGCCAGCUGCCUAUCUUGGGAGCUUUUCAAGGAUGACAGACUCCACUUUCUCUGCAGCAAGACAGCUCAUAACUUUUUAACAGUGUCUCCCUGUCCUCAUACUUCUAUAUAUUCUUCUGUAAUAGAUAACUAUACACUAUCAUUGCAAUCAAUCUACACUACAGCUCAAAAGUUUGAAGUCAAUUUUCACCUGCUUUAUAACCAUGUGAUCGGUCCAUACAGGAGUGAUUGUUACUAAAAAUGGGCCCAUGUAUAACACUGCAGACAUUUCCUAAUGCAUCAUGGGUGAUUUAACAAAUGAAUGAUUCAUUAAACAAACAUCUGUGAAAACAUUACUGGUAAACUUUGUGUAAUAUUACGUUAAAGCAAAUGUAAAUUUAAAAUUAAGAUAAGAAUGUUUCAAUCUGACCACAAACCUUUGAGCAGUAGUGUGUGUUGUAUGCAUGUGUCUGUCUGUAUCUGAUCAGGAUUUUGUCAUCAGUGUCAACAAAACGCUCAUUUUUUUAGCUGUGUCUAUCAUCAAAAUUGAGUUGGAGUGUUUUAACUCUGAUGGCAAUCUCUCCCUAACAAGUCCACUUUAUUGCGUGCUCAUUUUCUCCUAUUAGUGGCUCAUAGGAGUCUAACUAAUGCACUUUAUGCAUGUUUCCUAAUCUGUCACGCUUAUCAGUGGCUCAUGGUUGCUUAAGGCCUAUGUCUGUACUUGACCACAGAGGCAGAGCAUCAUUCAAUCCUGCCAGCUGCCUAUCUUGGGAGCUUUUCAAGGAUGACAGACUCCACUUUCUCUGCAGCAAGACAGCUCAUAACUUUUUCACAGUGUCUCCCUGUCCUCAUACUUCUAUAUAUUCUUCUGUAAUAGAUAACUAUACACUAUCAUUGCAAUCUACACUACAGCUCAAAAGUUUGAAGUCAAUUUUCACCUGCUUUAUAACCAUGUGAUCGGUCCAUACAGGAGUGAUUGUUACUAAAAAUGGGCCCAUGUAUAAGUGUGCAGACAUUUCCAAAUGCAUCAUGGGUGAUUUAACAGAAAUGAUUCAUUAAACACACAUCUGUGAAAACAUUACUGGUAAACUUUUUGUAAUAUUACGUUAAAGUAAAUGUAAAUUAUUAAUUAAAAGACGACUGUUUGAACUGACCACAAACUUUUGAGCAGUAGUGUGUGUUGUAUGCAUGUGUCUGUCUGUAUCUGAUCAGGAUUUUGUCAUCAGUGUCAACAAAACGCUCAUUUUUUUUUUAGCUGUGUACAUAAUCAAAAAUCGAGUUGAUGGCAAACUCUCCCUAACAAGUCACUUUAUUGUGUGCUAAUCAAUCUAUUCUAGUUUGAAGUCAGUUAGAAACGUCUUUUUUCUUAAAAAACCAAGAUUCUUUUUUAUAUUUUGUAAAUUUGUUGGGACUGCCAAUAAAUAUUAUUGCUUAAAACUCGCAUUGAUCACAAAUUAUGAUUGAUGUAUGGGAAAAUAUUAACUGGUCUAUGUAUGCCCAGUUACAAGAAUAAAAGCUACUGCGUAGAAUAUAUUACCUACCCUCAGUUUAUCACAUUAAAUCUCAGGUUACUAGUCACCCAGCAUUUUUCCAAAUACAGCAGCGCUAACCAACAUCAAUUUUUUCAAGUAAUAUAAAAAUCAAUUUUAUAUAUUACCUUUUUAAACAACCCACUCUUUUCUUUCUAAUGUCAUUAAAACAAGUUUGCACAGUUGGACCUCCAGAUAUUUUAAAGCUUUCAGUUUUUUCUCAUUGUCACACAUGAAUUAGUUUUCAUCUCUUUCAAUAAGAAAGUCAAAUAUUCAAACCCUAAAGCAAUCUUUGUUUCUUUCAAUCAUUCCAAUAUUUUUCAUCUCCUGUGAUAUAAUUGCAGUUAACCAGGGCUUAGCUACUCUCAUCUACAGUGAUUUUGUGGAUACCUAUUUUUUUUUCACAGUUGCAGAGCCUUUUUCUACAAAAUUAUGAUUGAACUGCAUUUUUCAAAAGUACCAUUAACAUUAAUGUAGACUGACAAGUAACUAAACAUUCAACACAGUGAUCAGUAGAGAAGAAAAAAAAAUGACCCCUUUCCAAAUUUCUAGUUCAGAUCAAAAUUAUUGUUCUGAUUAAGGAAACAGUAAAUUUGACCACAUUAUUGUCCUGAUCCUCCAAUUUUCCCUUUCUAAUGUGACUAAAUAAAAUUCACCUCUUUUUUUUUAAAAUAAAAGCAGAUGCACCCAGAUAUUUCUUACAGUAAGAAUCCUCCAACAACCUUUCAAAAGAAACAUUUUUUGUCUUUCCUCAAUUUUGAGACCAACUGAACCCACAAACCUGAAGCUCCAGACCCCAAACUAACCAAAUUUAAUGUUUCCUUAAUCAGCACAGUAAUUUUUAACUCUUUGUGUGUUAUGUUUACUCACAGUUUUGAUGCUUGCUUCUUCGACUUGAUCCACGGUUAGCUCUGCACCAUCGCUCUGCUGUUUUCUCUCUCCUCAUGCUUCUCCUUCAUGCGUCCUGUCCUCAGAUAUAAUCCAACCAGCUCCCUCCUUGUUUCCUCCCUGACUCAUAUUAGCAAAAUUUCCAGUUAAAUUCAGAGAAAUCCACAAAAGUUUUCCUGCUUCAAAAGCUCUUCCAGUUGCUUGUCUUCUUGUCCUCCUUUAAAUGUGCAUUUUUGUAUAUUUGUAUUUAUUUGACUUUUUA